rnacentral:rRNA from 1 species
GAUGAACGCUGGCGGCGUGCUUAACACAUGCAAGUCGAACGGAAAGGCCCAAGCUUGCUUGGGUGCUCGAGUGGCGAACGGGUGAGUAACACGUGGGUGAUCUGCCCUGCACUUUGGGAUAAGCCUGGGAAACUGGGUCUAAUACCGGAUAGGACCAUCGUUUAGUGUCGGUGGUGGAAAGUUUUUCGGUGUGGGAUGAGCUCGCGGCCUAUCAGCUUGUUGGUGGGGUAAUGGCCUACCAAGGCGUCGACGGGUAGCCGGCCUGAGAGGGUGUACGGCCACAUUGGGACUGAGAUACGGCCCAGACUCCUACGGGAGGCAGCAGUGGGGAAUAUUGCACAAUGGGCGCAAGCCUGAUGCAGCGAUGCCGCGUGGGGGAUGACGGCCUUCGGGUUGUAAACUCCUUUCGCCAAGGACGAAGCGUUUUGUGACGGUACUUGGAGAAGAAGCACCGGCUAACUACGUG